rnacentral:rRNA from 1 species
CCUUACAUUUCCGGUCUAUGCCUUUACAUAUACCCCGUAAUGAAUGUAUUAGAAUGUUUUGUUAUUGGCCUCAGUGCCUUUAAUCAAAUACAACUUUCAGCAACGGAUCUCUUGGCUCUCGCAUCGAUGAAGAACGCAGCGAAAUGCGAUAAGUAAUGUGAAUUGCAGAAUUCAGUGAAUCAUCGAAUCUUUGAACGCACCUUGCGCUCCUUGGUCUUCUGAGGAGCAUGCCUGUUUGAGUGUCAUUAAAUUCUCAACCUAACCAGCUUUUGUUUGGCUAAGGCUUGGAUGUGGGGGGUUUGCGGGCUUCACAGAAGUCGGCUCUCCUUAAAUGCAUUAGUUGGAACCUUUUUGUUGACCUUGUUCCUGGUGUGAUAAUUAUCUACACUGCGGGCAGUCAGCGAUUUCUAAUGGGGUUUUUGCUUCUAACCAACCGAUCCUUAACGGGACGAUUUUAUUUUGACCAUUUGACCUCAAAUCAGGUAGGAUUACCCGCUGAACUUAAGCAUAUCAAUAAGCGGAGGAAAAGAAACUAACAAGGAUUCCCCUAGUAACUGCGAGUGAAGCGGGAAAAGCUCAAAUUUAAAAUCUGGUAGUCUUUCGGCUGCCCGAGUUGUAAUCUAGAGAAGCAUUAUCCGCGCUGGCCCGUGUACAAGUGUCCUGGAAUGGACCAUCAUAGAGGGUGAGAAUCCCGUCUUUGACACGGACUCCCAGGGCUUUGUGAUGUGCUCUCAAAGAGUCGAGUUGUUUGGGAAUGCAGCUCUAAAUGGGUGGUAAAUUCCAUCUAAAGCUAAAUAUUGGCGAGAGACCGAUAGCGAACAAGUACCGUGAGGGAAAGAUGAAAAGAACUUUGGAAAGAGAGUUAAACAGUACGUGAAAUUGCUGAAAGGGAAACGCUUGAAGUCAGUCGCGUUGGCUGGGGAUCAAUCUUGCAUCUUUUUGCUUGGCUUACUUCCCAGUUGACGGGUCAGCAUCAGUUUUGACCAGUGGAUAAAGG